AACUUCGUGCCAGCAGCCGCGGUAAUACGAAGGGAACUAGCGUGAUUCGGAAUGACUGGGCGUAAAGGGUACGUAGGAGGCCUACCAAGUUUUCUUCUAAAUCUCAUGUUAACAUGAUCAUAGGGGAAAAAACUAGUAGGCUUUGAGUCUAGGAGAGGAUUAUGGAAUUUCUGGUGGAGGGCUAAUAUCCAAAUAUAUCAGAAGGAACAUCAGUGGCGAAGGCAAUAAUCUGGACUAGAACUGACUCUGAGGUACGAAAGCGUGGGGAGCAAACGGGAUUAGAGACCCCAGUAGUCCACGCCCUAAACGAUGAAUGCUUUCUUUUGGAAGUAAAAUCCAGAAGCAAAGAAGCUAACGCGUUAAGCAUUCCGCCUGGGGAGUACGAUCGCAAGGUUGAAACUCAAAAGAAUUGACGGGAGUUCAUACAAGCGGUGGAGCAUGUGGUUUAAUUCGAUGAUACGCGCAAAACCUUACCAACCCUUGACCCUUAGUAGACUACAAAAGUAAUUUUGGUCUUUUAAGUCGUUGAUAAACCUUUGGGUUUCUCAGCUUCACGUACUUGUACGUAAAAUUAAAACUACUAAACAGGUGUUGCAUGGCUGUCGUCAGCUCGUGUUGUGAAAUGUUGGGUUAGUUCCUAUUUCACGAGCGUAACCCCCAUCUUUAAUUUUUUAUUAACGAAACUGUCGGGAGCGAAACCGAAGGAAGGAGGGGAUGACGUCAAGUCUUCAUGGCCCUUAUGGGUUGGGCUACACACGUGCUACUAUGGUUGUAACAAUGGGAAGCAAAAAGCCUUUUAUUAGGAAAACUUGGAGCAAAUCCUUAAAAGCAACCCAAGUUCGGAUUGUUUUCUGCAACUCGAAAACAUGAAGUAGGAAUCGCUAGUAAUCGCAAAUCAGCACGUUGCGGUGAAUAUGUUCCUGAACUUUGUACAUACCGCCCGUCACACCCUGAGAGUGAGGUCUUCUGGAAGAUAAACUAGUUUGUAUUUAUUAAGUUUGGCGUAAAAUUACCAUCUUUGGUA
rnacentral:rRNA from 1 species